rnacentral:rRNA from 1 species
GAUGAACGCUGGCGGCGUGCCUAAUACAUGCAAGUCGAGCGAGCAGACGAGGAGCUUGCUCCUCUGACGUUAGCAGCGGACGGGUGAGUAACACGUGGAUAACCUACCUAUAAGACUGGGAUAACUUCGGGAAACCGGAGCUAAUACCGGAUAAUAUAUUGAACCGCAUGGUUCAAUAGUGAAAGACGGUUUUGCUGUCACUUAUAGAUGGAUCCGCGCCGCAUUAGCUAGUUGGUAAGGUAACGGCUUACCAAGGCAACGAUGCGUAGCCGACCUGAGAGGGUGAUCGGCCACACUGGAACUGAGACACGGUCCAGACUCCUACGGGAGGCAGCAGUAGGGAAUCUUCCGCAAUGGGCGAAAGCUUGACGGAGCAACGCCGCGUGAGUGAUGAAGGUCUUCGGAUCGUAAAACUCUGUUAUUAGGGAAGAACAAAUGUGUAAGUAACUAUGCACGUCUUGACGGUACCUAAUCAGAAAGCCACGGCUAACUACGUG